UGGGGAAUUGUUCGCAAUGGGCGCAAGCCUGACGACGCAACGCCGCGUGGAGGAUGAAGACCUUCGGGUCGUAAACUCCUUUCGAUCGAGACGAAUGGCCUCUGGGUGAACAAUCCAGGGGAAUGACGGUACCGAGAGAGGAAGCCCCGGCUAACUCCGUGCCAGCAGCCGCGGUAAUACGUAGGGACCAAGCGUUGUUCGGAUUUACUGGGCGUAAAGGGCGCGUAGGCGGCAUGACAAGUCACUUGUGAAAUCUCUGGGCUUAACCCAGAACGGCCAAGUGAUACUGUCGCGCUAGAGUGCAGAAGGGGCAAUCGGAAUUCUUGGUGUAGCGGUGAAAUGCGUAGAUAUCAAGAGGAACACCUGAGGUGAAGACGGGUUGCUGGGCUGACACUGACGCUGAGGCGCGAAAGCCAGGGGAGCAAACGGGAUUAGAUACCCCCGUAGUCCCUGAGCGGGCUGGCAAGGCGCAU
rnacentral:rRNA from 1 species